CCAAGGUUAAGACUGAGACUGCUGCUUUGCCCAGCCUUGGCCGUCACAGCGCCAUGGGGUGUAGACAUCCACCCGCAGACCGUGUGGAUUUUACCCCUAGAACACCGCUGUGCAAUCAUCUGUGUGCCCUUGUGUAAGCAUUAACGUUUCUCUGCAGACGUGGAAAUUGUAGAACUGGAAAUUCGGGUCAAAGGUGUGUGUAGAGGACACUUGUCACAAUUUCGGCCACCGGGAUCGCAGAGAGCCCCUUGCUCCGAGCUACAUAUAUGAAAAUGAACAAGGUUAUGGGAGUCGUGUGUGUUUUCAAUAACCGAUCAGUAGUGCCUCCUUUUCUCGGAAAUGAAGCAAGACUGUUGCUAGUUGGAGCUUGAUAGUUAAAACUACUCACAAAGCCCAGUCCGGUUUGAAGAGAACAUCUGUGAAAUUGGGUCAGCAAUGGUACACUGGCAUGCAAGAUGAAAUAUAACCCUGGUCUGGUCGGAGCUUCACAGCAGCAGAGCGCAGCUUUGUCUCCACGUGGCGCACUUGGAUUUGUGUCUUUGGGCGGAGAUCCUUCCACCCAGCCCGGGCCCCUGGGCGGCCAAGGGACGCCGUGUCUUCCGCAGCCCAGGGGCCAGGCUCUGGUCCCUCGCCGGGUGGUGCCGACAGCGUGCGGUUCCCCGGGUGACCACUGGAGGCCGCUGUGGCACCGAGAACGCGCGGAGGGCGCCCAGCUGGCGGACGGGGCGUGUCCUAGGAGUAAUGACUGUCACACUCACACGCCGACUGUUCUCGAAUUCUAGUCCAGGAUUUAAAAGACACUGUUAUGAAUUAACGAGAAUAAAAGACUCGGCAGAUGAAGCGCGGGUCUCGGAUCCCCUGGGGUUGUUUUCUAACUGCUUUCUAACUCAUUUUCCCCCCUCUGGGACUGGGUUUCAUUUGCAUCCCACACGAGGCAGGCUUUCGAUACGGCGAAAACGUCCUCCAAAAAUGACACAAGAGGAAGAAAUGUCGCGGCGGCAGCCUGUAGUAUUGAGCCCCAAAUACUUUGGUGAAACAGAAUAUUACCGUGUUUUCUCCAUCACCCGGUAUCGGC